GAUGAACGCUGGCGGCGUGCCUAAUACAUGCAAGUCGAGCGAACGGACGAGAAGCUUGCUUUUCUGAUGUUAGCGGCGGACGGGUGAGUAACACGUGGAUAACCUACCUAUAAGACUGGGAUAACUUCGGGAAACCGGAGCUAAUACCGGAUAAUAUUUUGAACCGCAUGGUUCUAAAGUGAAAGACGGUCUUGCUGUCACUUAUAGAUGGAUCCGCGCUGCAUUAGCUAGUUGGUAAGGUAACGGCUUACCAAGGCAACGAUGCAUAGCCGACCUGAGAGGGUGAUCGGCCACACUGGAGCUGAGACACGGUCCAGACUCCUACGGGAGGCAGCAGUAGGGAAUCUUCCGCAAUGGGCGAAAGCCUGACGGAGCAACGCCGCGUGAGUGAUGAAGGUCUUCGGAUCGUAAAACUCUGUUAUUAGGGAAGAACAUAUGUGUAAGUAACUGUGCACAUCUUGACGGUACCUAAUCAGAAAGCCACGGCUAACUACGUG
rnacentral:rRNA from 1 species